GUCAUGAAAUAAACUCGUCUUGAUCCAUCCUGAGCAUCAUAUCAACCGUAAAAAAAAAUUAUAUUUCUGAUGAAUUUUGCUGGGAAAAUAGUUUCGAUUAAACUAAUCAAUCACUUGAGUUGUAAGAAGAUUUGCUCAGCUUGAGAGAGAGGGAGAGAUCGAGUACGGAGCUUGUUCUGAUCGUACCCUUCAAUUUGGUCUGUAUAUUUGUUGCAGCUGUACUGGGAAUCUUUGAUACCUUGGCACUUGUGAGUUUGUUUAGCGUGGAAGUAGCUUUUGUAGUGAAGGCAAAACCUCGAAAGGUAGCAGCUGCAACUGGACAGUAUCUCUUUGGAUUCACUGCUUAUGUAUUAGGUUUUAUGAUGCUAUUCAUCUCUCUUUAGCCGUUACAAAAUACUAUGGAUUUUAGUGAUGAUGGUGGGUAGGUUUUGUUAUUUAACUUGAUGAAGAUUGUACAGAAACCAUAUAGGUUUCUACCAUUGGAGGCAUCAAAUUUUAGUUAAUAGUAAAGAGUCUCUUAACUUAAAAAUAAACAAAUUUUAUAAUUAAAA